rnacentral:rRNA from 1 species
UUAGAACGUCGUGAGACAGUUCGGUCCCUAUCCGCUGCGCGCGCAGGAGACUUGAGAAGGGCUGCCCCUAGUACGAGAGGACCGGGGUGGACGUACCUCUGGUGUGCCGGUUGUCCUGCCAAGGGCAUGGCCGGUUUGCUACGUACGGGAGUGAUAAGCGCUGAAGGCAUCUAAGCGCGAAGCACGCUUCGAGAUGAGGUCUCCCAUCCGUAAGGAGUAAGGGCCCCCGCCAGACGACGGGGUUGAUAGGCCGGAGGUGUACGCCCAGCAACGGGUUCAGCUGACCGGUACUAAUCGCCCGAGGACUUGCCA